rnacentral:rRNA from 1 species
CUGGCUCAGAACGAACGCUGGCGGCGUGGAUAAGACAUGCAAGUCGCACGGAGUGCCUUCGGGCACUGAGUGGCGCACGGGUGAGUAACACGUGAGUAACCUGCCCCUGAGACAGGGAUAGCCCCGGGAAACUGGGAUUAAUACCUGAUGGUCUCGCAAGAGUAAAGCAGCAAUGCGCUCAGGGAGGGGCUCGCGUCCCAUUAGUUAGUUGGCGGGGUAACGGCCCACCAAGGCGAUGACGGGUAGCCGGUCUGAGAGGAUGUCCGGCCACACUGGAACUGAGACACGGUCCAGACACCUACGGGUGGCAGCAGUCGAGAAUCAUUCACAAUGGGCGAAAGCCUGAUGGUGCGACGCCGCGUGGGGGAGGAAGGUCUUCGGAUUGUAAACCCCUGUCAUGUGGGAGCAAGACUUCGGUUUGAUAGUACCACAAGAGGAAGAGACGGCAAACUCUGUGCCAGCAGCCGCGGUAAUACAGAGGUCUCAAGCGUUGUUCGGAAUCACUGGGCGUAAAGGGUACGUAGGCGGCAUCAUAAGUCGUGCGUGAAAGGCAGGGGCUCAACCUCUGGAGUGCGCGUGAUACUGUGAUGCUGGAGUAAUGGAGGGGGAACCGGAAUUCUUGGUGUAGCAGUGAAAUGCGUAGAUAUCAAGAAGAAGACUCGUGGCGAAGGCGGGUUCCUGGACAUUUACUGACGCUGAGGUACGAAGGCCAGGGUAGCGAAAGGGAUUAGAUACCCCUGUAGUCCUGGCAGUAAACGGUGCACGUUUGGUGUGCGGGGAAUCGACCCCCUGCGUGCCGGAGUUAACACGUUAAACGUGCCGCCUGGGGAGUACGGUCGCAAGAUUAAAACUCAAAGAAAUUGACGGGGACCCGCACAAGCGGUGGAGUAUGUGGCUUAAUUCGAUGCAACGCGAAGAACCUUACCAAGGCUUGACAUCCCGUGACCGUCUGUGAAAGCAGAUUUUCUAUUCGUAGACACGGAGACAGGUGCUGCAUGGCCGUCGUCAGCUCGUGUCGUGAGAUGUUUGGUUAAGUCCAGCAACGAGCGCAACCCCUGCUGCCAGUUACCAUCAUUAAGUUGGGGACUCUGGCGGGACUGCCCAGAUCAACUGGGAGGAAGGUGGGGACGACGUCAGGUCAGUAUGGCCCUUAUGCC